AACGAACGCUGGCGGCAGGCCUAACACAUGCAAGUCGAACGCCGUAGCAAUACGGAGUGGCAGACGGGUGAGUAACGCGUGGGAACCUACCUUACGGUCGGGAAUAGCUCAGGGAAACUUGGGGUAAUACCGGAUACGCCCUUACGGGGAAAGAUUUAUCGCCGUUAGAUGGGCCCGCGUAGGAUUAGCUAGUUGGUGAGGUAAUGGCUCACCAAGGCGACGAUCCUUAGCUGGUCUGAGAGGAUGAUCAGCCACACUGGGACUGAGACACGGCCCAGACUCCUACGGGAGGCAGCAGUGGGGAAUAUUGGACAAUGGGCGCAAGCCUGAUCCAGCCAUGCCGCGUGAGUGACGAAGGCCUUAGGGUUGUAAAGCUCUUUUGGCGGGGAAGAUAAUGACGGUACCCGCAGAAUAAGCUCCGGCUAACUUCGUGCCAGCCGCCGCGGUAACAC
rnacentral:rRNA from 1 species